CGGCGCAUAGCUAGUUGUGAGGUAACGGCUCACCAAGGCGACGAUGCGUAGGGGUUCUGAGAGGAAGGUCCCCCACACUGGUACUGAGCACACUGGACCAGCAUCUCUAUACGGGAGGCCAGCAGUGAGGAAGUAUUGGCUCGAAUGGACUGGUAGUCUUGAACCAGCCUAAGUCGCUGAUGCGUGGAUGAAGGCCCUUUGGGUCGUACACCGCUUUUGGUCGGGGAGCAACUGUGCGGGACGUGUCCCUGUAGUGAGCGUACCCGAAUGUAACAAGCAUCGGCUAACUCCGUGCCAGCAGUCCGCGGCUAAUACGGACGCGAUGCGAGCGUUCAUCCGGAUUCACUUGGCGUUUAACAUGGGUGCGCAGGCGGCACAUCACAUGUCAGCGGUCAAACUGCGGCGCUCAAUCGCCGUAUCGCCGCUUCGAAACUGAUGAGCUUGAGUGCGUGCGAGGGAGGCGGAAUGCGCAGUGUAGCGGUGAAAUGCAUAGAUAUUGCGCAGAACUCCGAUUGCGAAGGCAGCUUCCCAGCGCGCCACUGACGCUCAUGCACGAAAGCGUGGGUAUCGAACAGGAUUAGAUACCCUGGUAGUCCACGCGGUAAACGAUGAUCACUGGCUGUGCGGUUUAAUUGCGAAUUGCGCGGCUGACGCGAAAGCGUUAAGUGAUCCACCCUGGGGAGUACGCCGGCAACGGUGAAACUCAAAGGAAUUGACGGGGGCCCGCACAAGCGGAGGAACAUGUGGUUUAAUUCGAUGAUACGCGAGGAACCUUACCCGGGCUCGAACGGUACAUGUCGUGAUGCUGAAAGGCGUCAUUCUCUUCGGAGCAUCGUAUCGAGGUGCUGCAUGGUUGUCGUCAGCUCGUGCCGUGAGGUUUGUCGGCUUAAGUGCCAUAACGAGCGCAACCCCCAUUCCUGGUUGCCACCGCGUCGUGGCGGGCACUCCAGGGAGACUGCCGGCGCAAGCUGUGAGGAGGGCAGGGAUGACGUCAAAUCAGCACGGCCCUUACGUCCGGGGCGACACACGUGUUACAAUGGUGGGUACAGAGGGGAGCCACCCGGCGACGGGGAGCCGAUCCCGAAAACCCAUCCCAGUUCGGAUCGGAGUCUGCAACCCGACUCCGCGAAGCUGGAUUCGCUAGUAAUCGCGCAUCAGCCAUGGCGCGGUGAAUACGUUCCCGGGCCUUGUACACACCGCCCGUCAAGCCAUGAAAGCUCGGGGCGCCUGAAGUCCGUGACCGAGAGGAGCGGCCUAGGCGAAACGGU
rnacentral:rRNA from 1 species